rnacentral:rRNA from 1 species
AGCUCGUAGUUGGAUUUCUGUUAAUAAUUUAUAUAAAAUAUUUUGAUGAAUAUUUAUAUAAUAUUAACAUAAUUCAUAUUACUAUAUAUUUUAGUAUAUGAAAUUUUACUUUGAGAAAAUUAGAGUGCUUAAAGCAGGCAUAUGCCUUGAAUACUCCAGCAUGGAAUAAUAUUAAAGAUUUUUAUCUUUCUUAUUGGUUCUAAGAUAAGAAUAAUGAUUAAUAGGGACAGUUGGGGGCAUUUGUAUUUAACAGUCAGAGGUGAAAUUCUUAGAUUUGUUAAAGGCAAACUAAUGCGAAAGCAUUUGCCAAGGAUGUUUUCAUUAAUCAAGAACGAAAGUUAGGGGAUCGAAGACGAUCAGAUACCGUCGUAGUCUUAACCAUAAACUAUGCCAACUAGAGAUUGGAGGUUGUUCCUUACUCCUUCAGCACCUUAA